rnacentral:snRNA from 14 species
UCGUUUAAUAUAACUUAUUCCGGGCCUUGUAAAAGACCCCAAGAACAAUUUUUGCAGCCCUGUUCUUUGGAUCAGGGUA